GAGUAAGUAGCUCAGAUGGUAGAGCAGGUGCAAAACACCGUGUCGAUGGUUCGAGUCCAUCUUUAUAAG
rnacentral:tRNA from 1 species